AUGUUCACUUUGGUAGCAUGUCUACUAAAUUUGGAGCAAUACAGAGAAGAUUAGCAUGGCCCUUGCACAAAGAUGACAUGGCAAUUUCUGAAGUGUUCCAUAUUUUA
ensembl:snRNA U6 U6 spliceosomal RNA